AUGCUCUUUGGCAUUUCUCAUUGCUUGUUUGAUUGUUUUCUCUUUGUGGGCGCCGGCCCGGAGCUGGGGGGGCGGGUGGUCCCGGGCCCCGGGGGCGGCGUCGCAAGGGCCGCCCGGGGGGCCGCCGGCCGGCACGCGGAGGACGGUCUCCCGCGGGUCGAUGAGGGGCUGGUCGAAGUAGCAGAAGGACUUCUGGUGGGUCAGGGCCGGCUCCUCGGCCGCGAACAUCAUCCGGCACUUCCUGCAGAUGAACUCGUACUUGACGGGCGGGGUCGCCGGGGGGUCACCCUCAGCGCCGUCCGGGGCCGGCGGCUUGGCCGGGGCGGCCCGGGGCCGCGGGGCCGGGGGAUCCGGCCGCGGGCCCGGCCCGGCCGGGGGCGCCGGCGGCGAGCCCACGGGCCCGUACGGGAAGAGGCCCUCGAGGCCGCAGGCCGGGGGCAGGUACCCGCCCGGCCCGGCCCCGGGCAGCUGGGGGGCCAGGUAGGAGGCGAAGCCGGGGAGGAAGUAGGGCAGGAACUGGCCGCCGAGGAGGGCCGGCCCGUCGGGGCCCUGCGGGGCCGGGAGCCGGCUGUUCUCCCCGCCCGGGCCUGGUCCGCCCGGGCCCGGCGCCACCUUCUCCUCUCUCCUGGGAGGCUUCUCCGGGUGGGGGGCGUCCGGCUCCUCCUCCUUGAUCCUGCGGACCUUGCCGGGUCCGGGCGGCUUCUUGUCCGGCUCCCUGUCGGGCGGGCCGGGGCCCGGCGCGGGCGGCGGGGUCUGCGGGCCGGGCUUGGCGGGGCCGCCGCCCGGGGCCGGGGCCGGAGACGAGGCCGCGGAGCCGGGGAACCCCAGGAGGCCCGGACCGGGAGACGGCAGAGCUGGAAGCGACAACGACGGUGGGGUCAGGCCCGGCACUGUCACGACGGCGGGGUGAGGGGGUGGCCCGCCUCCCACCCGGGGGGGGCCCUGGAGGGUGGGGGGUGGCGCGCCGCUCGACCCUGGGACUUCCCGAUGGCCCUAUUCCCCUCACUCCUGUCCCCCCGGCCCCCUCCCGGUUUCCCCCGAAACCCAGGAGACCCCACUCCCGCGGCCGCCGGGGGGGGAAUCGGACGGAUCCCAUCGGGGAGCGUGGGCUGGGGAAAGGGGAGAUCCCAUCCGAAAGCACGGCUGGGAAUCGGGGAAAUCCCCCGGAAACGCAGCGGGGAAUCGAGAAGAGCCCACCGGGGAGCGUGGCUGGGAAAUGGGGUAGUCCCCCACAGGAGCGUGACGGGGAGACGGGCGGAUCCCAUCUGGGGGCGUGGCCGGGAAUAG
rnacentral:lncRNA from 1 species